rnacentral:rRNA from 1 species
UUUAAUUCGACGCAACGCGCAGAACCUUACCUAGACUUGACAUCCCGGGGAUUUUCUGGAAACAGAGAAGUGCUUUAGCAAUAAAGAACCCGGUGACAGGUGCUGCAUGGUUGUCGUCAGCUCGUGUCGUGAGAUGUUGGGUUAAGUCCCGCAACGAGCGCAACCCCUACGUUUAGUUGCUAACAGGUGAAGCUGAGCACUCUAGACGAACUGCCGUUGACAAAACGGAGGAAGGUGGGAUGACGUCAAAUCAUCAUGCCCCUUAUGUUCUGGGCUACACACGUGCUACAAUGGCCGGUACAGACGGAGGCGAAGCCGCGAGGCGGAGCAAAUCCGAAAAAGCCGGUCUCAGUUCGGAUUGCAGGCUGCAAUUCGCCUGCAUGAAGUCGGAAUCGCUAGUAAUCGCAGGUCCAGCAUACUGCGGUGAAUACGUUCCCGGGCCUU